rnacentral:misc_RNA from 1 species
GUACAUUAGUGCUUGCGCACGACACUAAUUUCAUUACAUUCGAGUGUGUGUAAAAAUCCUCUGCCGGCCGAGGCUAGCAGAGGCCAAAGGUGCACAGGGUUUGGAUGAAAAAGUCACCGACGUGCACUUGCCGAAACCGGCCAGCACAGAAGGCAACGAUUCGCAAUCAUUAAUGAUCCUUCCGCAGGUUCACCUACGGAAA